CUGGCUCAGGAUGAACGCUAGCGACAGGCUUAACACAUGCAAGGUCGAGGGGCAGCAUAAAAGUAGCAAUACUUGGUGGCGACCGGCGCACGGGUGAGUAACGCGUAUGCAACCUACCUAUCAGAGGGGAAUAACCCGGCGAAAGUCGGACUAAUACCGCAUAAAACAGGGGCACCGCAUGGUGAUAUUUGUUAAAGAAAUUCGCUGAUAGAUGGGCAUGCGUUCCAUUAGGUAGUUGGUGAGGUAACGGCUCACCAAGCCGACGAUGGGUAGGGGAACUGAGAGGUUGGUCCCCCACACUGGUACUGAGACACGGACCAGACUCCUACGGGAGGCAGCAGUGAGGAAUAUUGGUCAAUGGGCGGGAGCCUGAACCAGCCAAGUCGCGUGAAGGAAGAAGGAUCUAUGGUUCGUAAACUUCUUUUGCAGGGGAAUAAAGUGCAGGACGUGUCCUGUUUUGUAUGUACCCUGAGAAUAAGGAUCGGCUAACUCCGUGCCAGCCGCUGC
rnacentral:rRNA from 1 species